AUGUCAGUUUCGUUAUUACAACCUUAUUUUUUUAUGUCAAAGACAAAAAGCUACGCGCAAAUUCUCAUUGGAUCUCGGUUGUUCUUAACAGCGAUGGCUAUUCAUUUAAGUCUUCGGGUAGCACCACCAGAUCUUCAACAAGGUGGAAAUUCUCGUAUUUCGUAUGUACAUGUUCCUGCGGCUCGGAUGAGUAUAGUUAUUUAUAUCGCGACAGCUAUAAACAGUUCCUUGUUCCCAUUAACAAAACAUCCUCUUUUUCUUCGCUCUCCCGGAACCGGUACAGAAAUUGGUGCUUUUUCUACUUUGUUUACGUUAGUGACUGGGGGGUUUCAAGGAAGGCCUAUGUGGGGUACCUUUCGGGUGUGGGAUGCUCGUUUAACUUCUGUAUUCAUCUUGUUCCUUAUUUACCUGGGUGCACUGCGUUUUCAAAAGCUUCCUGUCGAACCGGCUCCUAUUUCAAUCCGUGCUGGACCGAUCGAUAUACCAAUAAUAAAGUCUCCAGUCAACUGGUGGAAUACAUCGCAUCAACCUGGGAGCAUUAGCCGAUCUGGUACAUCAAUACAUGUUCCUAUGCCCAUUCCAAUCUUGUCUAACUUUGCUAACUUCCCCUUCUCUACCCGUAUCUUGUUCGUUCUGGAAACACGUCUUCCUAUUCCAUCUUUUCCCGAAUCUCCCUUAACGGAAGAAAUAGAAGCUCGAGAAGGAAUACCACUAAAAACCUAG
rnacentral:rRNA from 1 species